AUGGACCAUGCGUCCACUCCGGUACCCUACGCGCCGCCCCCCGACGACUGCUCGCUAGGUUUUAUUGGCU
rnacentral:sRNA from 1 species